rnacentral:rRNA from 1 species
ACGAACGCUGGCGGCGUGCUUAACACAUGCAAGUCGAACGGAAAGGCCCCUUUGGGGGUACUCGAGUGGCGAACGGGUGAGUAACACGUGAGUAACCUGCCCUUGACUUCGGGAUAACUUCAGGAAACUGGGGCUAAUACCGGAUAGGAAUCCUUGCUGCAUGGUGGGGGUUGGAAAGCUUCGGCGGUUUUGGAUGGACUCGCGGCUUAUCAGCUUGUUGGUGGGGUAGUGGCUUACCAAGGCUUUGGCGGGUAGCCGGCCUGAGAGGGCGACCGGCCACAUUGGGACUGAGAUACGGCCCAGACUCCUACGGGAGGCAGCAGUGGGGAAUAUUGCACAAUGGGCGGAAGCCUGAUGCAGCAACGCCGCGUGCGGGAUGACGGCCUUCGGGUUGUAAACCGCUUUCAGCAGGGGCGAAGCUUGUGGUGACGGUACCUGCAGAAGAAGCACCGGCUAACUACGUG